rnacentral:rRNA from 1 species
GCAGCAGUGGGGAAUAUUGGACAAUGGACCGAGAGUCUGAUCCAGCAAUUCUGUGUGCACGAUGACGUUUUUCGGAAUGUAAAGUGCUUUCAGUUGGGAAGAAAAAAAUGACGGUACCAACAGAAGAAGUGACGGCUAAAUACGUGCCAGCAGCCGCGGUAAUACGUAUGUCACGAGCGUUAUCCGGAUUUAUUGGGCGUAAAGCGCGUCUAGGUGGUUAUGUAAGUCUGAUGUGAAAAUGCAGGGCUCAACUCUGUAUUGCGUUGGAAACUGUGUAACUAGAGUACUGGAGAGGUAAGCGGAACUACAAGUGUAGAGGUGAAAUUCGUAGAUAUUUGUAGGAAUGCCGAUGGGGAAGCCAGCUUACUGGACAGAUACUGACGCUGAAGCGCGAAAGCGUGGGUAGCAAACAGGAUUAGAUACCCUGGUAGUCCACGCCGUAAACGAUGAUUACUAGGUGUUGGGGGUCGAACCUCAGCGCCCAAGCAAACGCGAUAAGUAAUCCGCCUGGGGAGUACGUACGCAAGUAUGAAACUCAAAUGAAUUGACGG